UAUAUAGUUUCUAUAUUAUCUAGUUUAUUUUGUAACUCACUCAGUUCCAUCUUCUCCUCCCCUGAGAGGCCGACAGGGGACCUCUGAGAAAGGGAAGUUAUCUUAAUGAUCAGCUUUUCUGGUCUUAAGCAAGAUUACUACCAUAUUUUCUAAGGUAUUUGAACACCUCAAAUGUAAUGAGCUCCCAGUUCUUGCAAUAAGAUUUUAUUCACAAGCCCUUUCCCAAAAGUGUGAGAGCAGAUCUUUAACCUCAAAUUUAACUACAUGAUUAUUUAAUAACGAGCUAUUUAGCUUCCAGUAGGAUGCUCUACCAAGGUUCGUAUCAGGAGUAAAUAUUUUGAUAUCAAUGUAAAUGGCCCUAUGGUCUGUGAGGGGACUAGUACAAAUAUGUGUAGUAACACACUCACUAUCAAUACAUUUGGAUAUAAGCCUAAAAUCUAUUCUGGAUUAUCUGGAACCUGUUUUGUUACUCCAAGUGAACAAUCUGCCGGCCAGAAACCUCUCUCCAUGUAUCAGUAAGAUCAAACUUUUUCAUAAAAAGUAUUAAACCCAAAUUCUGACAGGUUGAAGAAAAAAAAGACACCCUCGUUCGCUUACCCUCGCUUUAUAUCCUUGGGGUAAUCCCUGUCACCAUUUUGGAUGUUGGUCCAAACGAUUAGCCAAACAAGGAUUAUUCGCAAUGUAAGCCCCUCAGCCCUUCUUUCUGAUCGAGUUUACGAGUGUACAAUUAUUUUCACUUCAGGCCUGAAACGCCCCACAAUUCAAUUCGCAAUGAUUGUACAUCCGCUAAGAAAAAUAAGCCAAAACUUUAGACCUCAGCGUCAAUAUGGAUAAGUAAACAUACAAGUAAACUAAUGUAAAAAGGUUAGAAAUUGUGCUACUAAUGGACAUGACGGCACAAACACAUCUCAUAAAAGUAGUAAUAUUUUUGUUUGGUUUGCUUUUGGAAUUUUUUUUAUUAAACAUUUUCCUUCUUCAGAAGUUCCAGCUAGGCAGGCUAACUUUAUUUAGCUAAUUAAUUUGCUAGCUAUCAUUCAGUAGGCAUAUAUUAAUAAUUAUAUAGUUAAUAUAGACAUGCAAUCAUAAUUGACUGUAGCGCAUAUAAAGCACCCACAAGCUACCGGUGGCUGAAAACACAAUCAUCUCUGGAUGAACAGUGACAAAUUUCCAUUUAAAAAUAAUUCCUUCCGCCCUUGCCCUGCAAGUGUAUACUCGUCAGACUUCAUUAAACAUCAUCAGAAGUGUCCACUUAAUUUGAGGGCUGAGGGGAUAGGGUGUCUUUUAAGUGUUUGGAAUGCUUCCCUUGAGUCAUUGUGGAAAAUGUUACAUUUGUCAGUACUAUACACAAUGCAUGCAUUUCAUUACUGCAUGUUGUUUCAUCAGACACUGGGCUGAGGACGUGUGGGAGGACCGCAUCACAAAUACAUGGGUUAGAUUAAUAUUAAUCUUUGGCUGCAUUCAUCCUGAAGGCGGAGGGCGCCUCUCAGUAGAGACCGAGGUGGAAAUGAUGGGAUUCGGAUACGUAUCGACCUUCCUACAACAAGAGUCAACAGUCUUUGAGCCCCACCUUGUACCAAAAACAUUUUGAUAAGAAUGCCCCAGUGGAUGAGUGGAUGCUGGCAGCAAUGACCCAAGCAAGAUGCAGUACAGCACCAACAAUUGUUGCAGCGGGAGCCGCCUAGAGAAGUCCUACAAGGUGCAGAGAUCCGAUGCUGAAAGGACAGCGCUGUUACAUCUUGGCUGACGGCUUUUAUGAAUGGAGGCAGGAGAAAGACAAGCAGCCUUUCAUCUAUUUCCCCCAGACUCAAGGAUCUGCUCACGUGAAAACAGAGGACCAGGAUGAGGGGACACCCUAUAAGGAGGAUACAGACAUGCAUGUCUGAAGAAGGCUCUGUAGACCUGGAAGAGGACAAAGGAGUCUGUGAGUGGAGAGGAUGGCUGUUGCUGACCAUUGCAGGACUGUUUGACUGAUGGACUCCCCAUAGUGGAGAUCCCCUCUAGACCUACACUGUGAUCACUCUGGGUACAUCCCCUAUCAUCAAGGCAUCUAUGACCAGAUGCCAGCGAUUCUCGACAGAGGUCAGAAGAUGGCUGGAUUUUGGAGCUCAAGCCCUCAGCUGGCAGUAAGAUGAUGAUGGGCUGGCUAAAGAGCAGCACACCCUCCAAGAGGAAAGAGCCAGACACUGGGGAAGUCAAACAGGAGGGCCACACAGGAGAAACAGCCUGAGAAGCAGCUGAAGACUGCAGGGCCUCUCCAACAGUGGCUGCAGGGACCCAGUAAGAAACCCAGGACCAACUGAGUGGUUGGGACAAACAUUGACUGACUUUGAAAAGAGAUGGGAACAGACUGAAGAAUGUAUGUCUUAUUGUCUUGAGGUGGAAGAGCGCAAAUGGUUUGAUUAUUUUUAUGUCUGGUGUAGGUUGAAGAUAAUGUAAUUAAACAUUUGACAGAU